rnacentral:rRNA from 1 species
AGAGUUUGAUCCUGGCUCAGGAUGAACGCUGGCGGCGUGCCUAAUACAUGCAAGUCGAACGCUUCACUUCGGUGAAGAGUGGCGAACGGGUGAGUAAUACAUAAGUAACCUGGCAUCUACAGGGGGAUAACUGAUGGAAACGUCAGCUAAGACCGCAUAGGUGUAGAGAUCGCAUGAACUCUAUAUGAAAAGUGCUACGGGACUGGUAGAUGAUGGACUUAUGGCGCAUUAGCUGGUUGGUAGGGUAACGGCCUACCAAGGCGACGAUGCGUAGCCGACCUGAGAGGGUGACCGGCCACACUGGGACUGAGACACGGCCCAGACUCCUACGGGAGGCAGCAGUAGGGAAUUUUCGGCAAUGGGGGAAACCCUGACCGAGCAACGCCGCGUGAAGGAAGAAGUAAUUCGUUAUGUAAACUUCUGUCAUAGAGGAAGAACGGUGGAUAUAGGGAAUGAUAUCCAAGUGACGGUACUCUAUAAGAAAGCCACGGCUAACUACGUGCCAGCAGCCGCGGUAAUACGUAGGUGGCGAGCGUUAUCCGGAAUUAUUGGGCGUAAAGAGGGAGCAGGCGGCACUAAGGGUCUGUGGUGAAAGAUCGAAGCUUAACUUCGGUAAGCCAUGGAAACCGUAGAGCUAGAGUGUGUGAGAGGAUCGUGGAAUUCCAUGUGUAGCGGUGAAAUGCGUAGAUAUAUGGAGGAACACCAGUGGCGAAGGCGACGAUCUGGCGCAUAACUGACGCUCAGUCCCGAAAGCGUGGGGAGCAAAUAGGAUUAGAUACCCUAGUAGUCCACGCCGUAAACGAUGAGAACCUGAUGCAGGAGAUAUUCUGUGUCGAAGCUAACGCGUUAAGUUCUCCGCCUGGGUACUACGUUCGCAAGAAUAAAACUUAAAGGAAUUGACGGGCGCCCGCACAAGCAGUGGAGCAUGGGGUUUAAUUCGUCGAUACACGAAAAACCUUACCAGGGCUUGACAUCCCGCUAAAAGCCUUAGAAAUAAGGAAAUAGUUAUAGCGGUGACAGGUGGUGCAUGGUUGUCGUCAGCUCGUGCCGUGAGGUGUUAGGUUAAGUCCUCAAACGAGCGCAACCCUUGUCUUUAGUUGCCAUUAUUAAUUUAGGAACUCUAGAGAGACUGCCGGCGCAAGCCGGA